UGUUUGAUGUUUCGCCGCGAUGAUUCGAAAUGAAACGAAGAAAUUAGCAGAAGUGAAGGUCACCGGAGAGGUGAAUGAGGAUUUUACCACUGGAACUAGAGAGCUUGGCUCUGACUGGUCUACUACAGCAAGGAAUGUGCCAGGGGCCAAUCUGAUGAACAUGUGGCAGAAGAUUUGGCAGUGGGUGAAGAAACACUGAGAUUGAAAUGCAACCACAGGUGGAGGCUUCACCCAAACUUUUCAGACGGAUGCGAGAUACAAAGUUACCCAAGUAUAAAUGGUUGAAGGUUUUGGAGAGCCAGACAAGAAGGCAGGAAAUGUGAUGUCACUUGUAAGUUAAAACACUCUUAAGUAUGACUGCCUCACUUUGGCGAAGAAAGUAGUCACAUUAAAAAAAAAUUAAAUUACCAGUACUGUUCUCUUCUUUAUUUGGUCUUCUAGCAGUCAAUAUUUGAAAACAGUGACAUCUAUAAGUCUAUAAGAUAAUAAGUGCUUAGAUGCUUAAAUGAUUAAUGAUGAUAUUUCUUGGACAGUUGUAAAACAUCCAAUAUCAAUCAAUGCUAGAUGCUGUGACUUGCUUUCUAUUGCCAAAGUAGUAAAUGAAUGUUCCAUUGUUCUGCAUUCCUAUUAGAA